rnacentral:rRNA from 1 species
AUUGAACGCUGGCGGCAUGCUUUACUCAUGCAAGUCGAACGGUAACAGGUUAAGCUGACGAGUGGCGAACGGGUGAGUAAUGCAUCGGAACGUGCCCGGUCGUGGGGGAUAACACUUCGAAAGAAGUGCUAAUACCGCAUACGAUCUGAGGAUGAAAGCGGGGGACCGUAAGGCCUCGCGCGAUCGGAGCGGCCGAUGUCAGAUUAGGUAGUUGGUGGGGUAAAGGCCUACCAAGCCGACGAUCUGUAGCUGGUCUGAGAGGACGACCAGCCACACUGGGACUGAGACACGGCCCAGACUCCUACGGGAGGCAGCAGUGGGGAAUUUUGGACAAUGGGCGCAAGCCUGAUCCAGCAAUGCCGCGUGCAGGAAGAAGGCCUUCGGGUUGUAAACUGCUUUUGUACGGAGCGAAAAGGCUCUCUCUAAUACAGGGGGCUGAUGACGGUACUGUAAGAAUAAGCACCGGCUAACUACGUGCCAGCCGCCGCCGUAAAAC